AAUACUAGCUAAUUGUAGUGACAUAGUGUAUGCCUAGUCACAAGGAUGCAUUGUAAGAUCGUGAUAUGUCAUAAAUUAAUCAUGAGUUUACUCAUUGUCAUCUCCAAUAUCGGAUGAACUGAAUAGUAUGUGGUCUCACACACCCCCCAGAAUAAAUCCAACAAAGCAAAGUAUUAAGAAUAUAUUGGCUAAUUUAGUUUGCAUAGGAUAUCAGUUGCUU
rnacentral:lncRNA from 1 species